rnacentral:misc_RNA from 1 species
UGAAAACAUAAUGGCUCCUGCUACUGCUGCACUUUAGUCUUCCUAGCAAGCAUUAUCAGUCUAGGCCCUUGCCAAGGAAGCUUGAAUGGCGGUCUCGUCCAGAGUGAAAGAGAAGCUCUUUUGAACUUCAAAAAUGACCUCACCGAUCCCUCUAACCGGCUCAAAUCUUGGGGCACUGAUGCAGACUGUUGUUGAUAUCCUGGAGUCAUUUGUGACAAUCUCACCAGCCAUGUUCUUGAGCUCCAUCUUAGAAGUCUCUCUGUGGAUGAGUAAUAUGCCUCCAAUGUCACUAUACUAAAUAUUUGGAGAGGUCGGCAUUUAGA